rnacentral:rRNA from 1 species
UACGUAGGGGGCGAGCGUUGUCCGGAAUUAUUGGGCGUAAAGAGCGUGUAGGCGGUUCGGUAAGUCUGUCGUGAAAUCCUGAGGCUCAACCUCGGGCGUGCGAUGGAUACUGCAGUGCUAGAGUGUGGAAGGGCAAUCGGAAUUCUUGGUGUAGCGGUGAAAUGCGUAGAUAUCAAGAGGAACACCUGAGGUGAAGACGGGUUGCUGGGCCAACACUGACGCUGAGGCGCGAAAGCCAGGGGAGCAAACGGG